rnacentral:tRNA from 4 species
GGGCCCGUAGCUCAGGCGGAUAGAGCAGCGGUUUCCUAAACCGCGUGCCGGGGGUUCGAGUCCCUCCGGGCCCACCA